AAGGGCUUAGCUUAAUUAAAGUGAUUGAUUUGCAUUCAAUUGAUACAGAAUAGAGUUUUUCAGUCCUUA
rnacentral:tRNA from 2 species